rnacentral:rRNA from 1 species
GACGAACGCUGGCGGCGUGCCUAAUACAUGCAAGUCGAACGCAGUGGGGACGGGUGAGUAACACGUGGGUAACCUCCCAUCAGAGGGGAUAAAACUUGGAAACAGGUGCUAAACCGAUACUGAUGGAUGGACCCGCGGUGCAUUAGCUAGUGGGUGAGGUAACGGCUCACCAAGGCAACGAUGCAUGGACGACCUGAGAGGGUGAGCGUGCCCACGGUGACGUGUACACGGCCCAGACUCCUACGGGAGGCAGCAGUAGGGAAUCUUCGGCAAGGGACGAAAGUCUGACCGAGCAACGCCGCGUUAGUGAAGAAGGUUUUCGGAUCGUAAAACUCUGUUGUUAGAGAAGCGUUAUCUAACCAGAAAGCCACGGCUAACUACGUGCCAGCAGCCGCGGUAAUAC